AUACGGAGGAUCCGAGCGUUAUCCGGAUUUAUUGGGUUUAAAGGGUGCGCAGGCGGCCAUUUAAGUCAGCGGUUAAAUCGUGGGGCUCAACCCCAUUCUGCCGUUGAUACUGGGUGGCUUGAUUGCGGUCGAGGUUGGCGGAAUUCGUUGUGGAGCGGGGAAAUGCAUAGAUAUGACGAAGAACACCGAUUGCGUAGGCAGCUGACCAGACCGCAAAUGACGCUCAUGCACGAAAGUGCGGGGAUCGAACAGGAUUAGAUACCCUGGUAGUCCGCACAGUAAACGAUGAAUACUUGUUUUCGGCGAUAUAAUGUCGGAGGCAAAGCGAAAGCGAUAAGUAUUCCACCUGGGGAGUACGCCGGCAACGGUGAAACUCAAAGGAAUUGACGGGG
rnacentral:rRNA from 1 species